GGCUGGGUAGCUCAGUGGAUAGGGCGGCUGGGUUGCUCAGUGGAUUGAGAGCCAAGCCUAGAGGUGGGAGGUCCUAGGUUCGAAUCCAGCCUCAGCCA
rfam:Monodelphis domestica cont3.071725, whole genome shotgun sequence.